UACUUCUCUAGCAGUGUCUACAAUUAAUUUUCAUUUUCACAUAAGUAGAUUAAAAUUAUUUUCUGCCUUUAUUAAGACAAAGACUCUCUAAGUUCCUUUUCCAGGGACUACUAGUAAACAGUAAAUGCCCUUCAAAAAUUUAGUUCCCUUCUCUAUUAACAUAAACAUUUCAGAAUUACACUUUCUUUUUUUUCCCCUUCCUUCCAGAAUUUAAGAAAGAAGUGAUUAUGCUCCUGAAAUCAUGAGGACUUUACAGGGAAUUUGAUAGAGGAGAAUGUGCAAGAGAAAAUAGGGAUUGGCCUAAACUUCUGAGUCUCAAGAUGAAGCAGCGUGUGUUACGUUCUCUUUCUGGGUCCCUUUAUUCAGACGUAAACACUCAGGUUCAGAAUGUGAAAUACCUCAGUGACCCAUGUGACUCCCAACGCAGGCCCUGAGUAAAAGGGAAGCUACUGUUAUCACGGUUUAUAAAUGACAGUCUUG
rnacentral:lncRNA from 13 species